UACAGAGGGUGCGAGCGUUGUCCGGAAUCACUGGGCGUAAAGGGCGCGUAGGUGGCGCGACAAGUCAGUGGUGAAAGUUCGACGCUCAACGUCGAAUCGGCCACUGAUACUGUUGGGCUUGAGCACUGUAGAGGCUAAUGGAAUUCCGGGUGUAGCGGUGGAAUGCGUAGAGAUCCGGAAGAACACCGGUGGCGAAGGCGGUUAGCUGGGCAGUUGCUGACACUGAGGCG
rnacentral:rRNA from 1 species